rnacentral:rRNA from 1 species
UACAGAGGUGGCAAGCGUUUGUUCGGAAUUACUGGGCGUAAAGGGCGCGUAGGUGGCCUUCUUAGUCAGACGUGAAAUCCCCAGGCUUAACCUGGGAACUGCGUCUGAUACUGGAAGGCUUGAGUUCGGGAGAGGGAUGCGGAAUUCCAGGUGUAGCGGUGAAAUGCGUAGAUAUCUGGAGGAACACCGGUGGCGAAGGCGGCAUCCUGGACCGAUAUUGACGCUGAGGAGCGAAAGCCAGGGGAGCAAACGGG